GGAGCUUGCUUUAUAUAACUUAGCAGCGAACGGGUGAGUAACACGUAGAUAAUCUAUCCUAUACUGGGGGAUAGCCCGAUGAAAGUCGGAUUAAUACCGCAUAUAGCUAUAUAGUUGCAUGAUUAUGUAGUGAAAGAUUUAUUGGUAUAGGAGGAGUCUGCGGCACAUUAGCUAGUAGGUGAGGUAAAGGCUUACCUAGGCGACGAUGUGUAGCCGGUCUGAGAGGAUGAACGGCCACAAUGGAACUGAGACACGGUCCAUACUCCUACGGGAGGCAGCAGUGGGGAAUAUUGCACAAUGGGGGAAACCCUGAUGCAGCAACGCCGCGUGAGUGAAGAAGGUUUUCGGAUUGUAAAGCUCUGUUAGCAGGGAAGAGGAAGGACGGUACCUGCAGAGGAAGCCACGGCUAACUACGUGCCAGCAGCCGCGGUAAUACGUAGGUGGCAAGCGUUGUUCGGAAUAACUGGGCGUAAAGGAUGCGUAGGCGGUUAAACAAGUUAUAUGUUAAAUAUAUAGGCUUAACCUGUAGAAAGCAUAUAAAACUGUUUAACUAGAGUGCAGGAGAGGUAAGUGGAAUUCCUAGUGUAGCGGUGAAAUGCGUAGAGAUUAGGAAGAACACCAGUGGCGAAGGCGACUUACUGGACUGUAACUGACGCUGAGGCAUGAGAGCAUGGGGAGCAAACAGGAUUAGAUACCCUGGUAGUCCAUGCUGUAAACGAUGGGUACUAGGUGUGGGUUGUGA
rnacentral:rRNA from 1 species